UGUGGCUCAGGGGUAGAGCGCCUGCCUAGCACGCAUGAGGCCCUGGGUUCAAUCCUCAGCA
rnacentral:tRNA from 1 species